GAUGAACGCUGGCGGCGUGCCUAAUACAUGCAAGUCGAGCGAACAGACGAGGAGCUUGCUCUUCUGACGUUAGCGGCGGACGGGUGAGUAACACGUGGAUAACAUUCCUCUAAGACUGGGAUAAUUUCGUGAAACCGGAGCUAAUACCAGAUAAUAUAUUGAACCGCAUGGUUCAAUAGUGAAAGACGGUUUUGCUGUCACUUAUAGAUGGAUCCGCGUCGGAUUAGCUAGUUGGUAAGGUAACGGCCUACCAAGGCAACGAUGCGUAGCCGACCUGAGAGGGUGAUCAGCCACACUGGAACUGAGACACGGUCCAGACUCCUACGGGAGGCAGCAGUAGGGAAUAUUCCACAAUGGGCGAAAGCUUGACGGAGCCAUGCCGCGUGAGUGAUGAAGGUCUUCGGAUCGUAAAACUCUGUUAUUGGGGAAGAAAAAAUGCAUAUGAAACUAUGCACGUCUUGACGGUACCUAAACAGAAAGCCACGGCUAACUACGUG
rnacentral:rRNA from 1 species